GUUUAUGCUAUAUUCUAGGGAGAACAUCCUCUAUGCCAUCUACUGAGAAGCCGUCAGGCACAGUAGAAGAUAUGACUACCUUAAAAACCCUCCCCCCACCUCACGGAUGCAGAAAACCUCAAUCUCCUGUUGAAUUACCUGGGACCUCUUCUGGAAAGGGAACGGAGAUUAUUGCACCACCAACUGAAAAAACCUCAGAACCCCAAGAUGG